GGGUUGUGAGGUUAAGCGACUAAGCGUACACGGUGGAUGCCCUGGCAGUCAGAGGCGAUGAAGGGCGUGCUAAUCUGCGAUAAGCGCCGGUAAGGUGAUAUGAACCGUUAUAACCGGCGAUACCCGAAUGGGGAAACCCAGUGUGAUUCGUCACACUAUCAUUACGUGAAUACAUAGCGUAAUGAAGCGAACCGGGGGAACUGAAACAUCUAAGUACCCCGAGGAAAAGAAAUCAACCGAGAUUCCCCCAGUAGCGGCGAGCGAACGGGGAGGAGCCCAGAGCCUGAAUCAGCAUGUGUGUUAGUGGAAGCGUCUGGAAAGGCGCGCGAUACAGGGUGACAGCCCCGUACACAAAAGCGCAUGUGUUGUGAGCUCGAUGAGUAGGGCGGGACACGUGGUAUCCUGUCUGAAUAUGGGGGGACCAUCCUCCAAGGCUAAAUACUCCUGACUGACCGAUAGUGAACCAGUACCGUGAGGGAAAGGCGAAAAGAACCCCGGCGAGGGGAGUGAAAAAGAACCUGAAACCGUGUACGUACAAGCAGUGGGAGCACCCUUUGGGGUGUGACUGCGUACCUUUUGUAUAAUGGGUCAGCGACUUAUAUUCUGUAGCAAGGUUAACCGAAUAGGGGAGCCGGAGGGAAACCGAGUCUUAAUUGGGCGUUAAGUUGCAGGGUAUAGACCCGAAACCCGGUGAUCUAGCCAUGGGCAGGUUGAAGGUUGGGUAACACUAACUGGAGGACCGAACCGACUAAUGUUGAAAAAUUAGCGGAUGACCUGUGGCUGG
rnacentral:rRNA from 1 species